ACUCUACAGUCUAUGCGUUUAGUUACCUUGUCGACUUUGAUACCAGGGACAAUGUUCUGCUCGACGAGGACGUCGACCAUUUUCUUGCCUUCGGUGGUAGACUGGUACAGAGUCUCCUCAAAUAGAAUUGCGCCGGAGACGUACUGUCCGAGUCCCGGUGCAGAGACCAGCAAAGUCCGGAAAGCUUGACGAUUUGCCUCAGUGUUCUCUAGCCCUAUCGAAUCCAAACGUUUCCCGCAAGUCGCGUUUGACUCGUCCAUCGCCAAGAUUCCACGUCCGGGAGACGCAA
rnacentral:sRNA from 1 species